AGGAGUCUAACACGAAGCCAUUGUUUGGCUGGCUGACCAUCCUUUGGAGCCCACAGCAGCUGGUCCUUAGUGAAUAAACCCAAAGUCAUACAUUUACCUUAACACUGUUCAGUAUAUUAAAAGUAGCUUGGAAAAAAAAUCAAGUUUAGAAACCAGAAUGAGCAUGGAUUUAAAUCUGGAUCACAUAA